AUUGAACGCUGGCGGCAGGCUUAACACAUGCAAGUCGAGCGAGCGGCGGACGGGUGAGUAAUGUCUGGGAAACUGCCUGAUGGAGGGGGAUAACUACUGGAAACGGUAGCUAAUACCGCAUACCAUCAGAUGUGCCCAGAUGGGAUUAGCUAGUAGGUGGGGUAAUGGCUCACCUAGGCGACGAUCCCUAGCUGGUCUGAGAGGAUGACCAGCCACACGGGAACGUGGACACGGGCCAAAACCCGAAGGGGGGCAGCAGGGGGGAAUAUUGCACAAUGGGCGGAAGGCUGAUGCAGCCAUGCCGCGUGUGUGAAGAAGGCCUUCGGGUUGUAAAGCACUUUCAGCGAGGAGGCGUUACUCGCAGAAGAAGCACCGGCUAACUCCGUGCCAGCAGCCGCGGUAUUC
rnacentral:rRNA from 1 species